rnacentral:RNase_P_RNA from 1 species
CGGCAAGGGUGGAGUAUCGCUCCCGGGGCUCGCCUCGGGGGAGGAAAGUCCGAACACCAUAGGGCGCGAUGCCGCGUAACCGGCCUGAGAUCCCUUUUGGGUUACAGUGCCGGAUACACGCGGGCGGCGACGCCGCGAGGCGUCCCGACGGAAAGUGCCACAGAAAACAAACCGCCUGUACGCCGUUGUUGGCUGCGUCGGCCAAAGGCGGUGUACCGGCAAGGGUGAAAAGGUGGGGUAAGAGCCCACCGCUCGCUCGCGUAAGCGACGAGGCACGGAAAACCCCAUCGGGUGCAAGGCCAAAUAGGGGACGUAGGAAGUGGCCCGCUUCAGUCCCGCCGAUGCGGGACGCGUCCCGGGUUCUGGCCGCUCAGAUAAAUGAUACUCUCCUCCGGGUCAAAACCCGGAGCAGACAGAAUUCGGCUUAUAGCUCUUGCCGGGCC